rnacentral:rRNA from 1 species
UACGGGAGGCAGCAGGGGGAAUAUUGCACAAUGGGCGAAAGCCUGAUGCAGCUAUGCCGCGUGUAUGAAGAAGGCCUUAGGGUUGUAAAGUACUUUCAUCGGGGAGGAAAAAACAAAACUAAUAAUUUUAUUUCUUGACGUUACCCGAAAAAGAAGCACCGGCUAACUCCGUGCCAGCAGCCGCGGUAAUACGGAGGGUGCUAGCGUUAAUCAGAAUUACUGGGCGUAAAGAGCACGUAGGUGGUUUUUUUAAAGUCAGAUGUGAAAAUCCCUGGGCUUUAACCUAGGAACUGCAUUUUUGAAAACUGAAAUACUAGAGUAUCGUAGAGGGAGGUAGAAUUCUAGGUGUAGCGGUGAAAUGCGUAGAUAUCUGGAGGAAUACCUGUGGCGAAAGCGGCCUCCUAAACGAAUACUGACACUGAGGUGCGAAAAGCGUGGGGAGCAAAACAGGGAUUAGAUACC